AGUUGGUGGGGUAAAGGCCUACCAUGGGGACGAUCUGUACCGGGUCUGAGAGGAUGAUCCACCUCACUGGAACUGAUACUCGGCCCAAACUCCUACGGGAGGCAGCCCUGAGGAAUAUUGGACAAUGGGCGCAAGCCUGAUCCACCCUUGCCGCGUGUGUGAAGAAGGCCUUUUGGUUGUAAAGCACUUUACUUCAGGGGGAGGCUCCUUUACUUAAUACCUAAAGUGAUUGGACGUUACUCCCAUAAUAACCGCCGGCUGACUCUGUGCCAGCACCCGCGGUAAUACAGACGGUGCGAGCGUUAAUCGGAUUUACUGGGCGUAUAGCCUGCGUAGGCGGCUUUUUAAGUCGGAUGUGAAAUCCCUGAGCUUAACUUAGGAAUUGCAUUCCUCACUGGAAAGCUAGAGUAUGGGAGAGGAUGGUAGAAUUCCAGGUGUAGCGGUGAAAUGCGUAGAGAUCUGGAGGAAUACCGAAAGCUAUGGCAGACAUCUGGCCGAAUACUGACGCUGAUGUACUAAAGCUUGCGCAGCAGACAGGAUUAGAUACCCUGGUACUCGAUGCCAUACACUGUGUCUACUAGCCGUUGGGGCCGUUGAGGCUUUAGUGGCGCAUCUGACGCUAUAAUUACGCCGCCUGGGGAGUACGGUCGCAAGACUAGAACUCAAUGACUUGACUGGAGCCCGCACAAGCUGUGGAGCAUGUGAUUAAUUCUAUGCAACGCGAAUAACUUUACCUGGACCUUGACAACCUAAGACGUUCCAGAGAUAGUAUGGAUGCUCUUCGAGAUCUUAUAGUACGCGUGCUG
rnacentral:rRNA from 1 species